AGGCACACUCGAAUGACUGCCAGAGGAGAUUCAAGAAUUCUUCAAACACACAUAAAUGAAUCAAAGCAACACUUCAGAACGUCAUCUUUGCCAUGGCUGGAUGCAAGGAGUCGUCAAAGCAUGCUGCCAUUUGGACGCCAGAAGAUGUUUCUAACUCAACCCUACAGUCCAGCACCACAGACCUGUCAGCUGUUCACAAGAAUAAAUCCAGUCUGAGUCUGACUUUGUUUGGCUUUGUGUGAUGAGUGGAUACGUACAAUUUACGCAGAACAAUCUACAUUUAACAGGUGUUUUCAAAUAGUUGAGUUGGACAGGGUGAUCGAUUUCUCUGGAAUGAUCAAUUUCUAAAAUAAAUUAGUGCUUGGAAAACAACUUUUGUUGUUAUACAAAAACUAAUCUUCUUGUUUUGCAAGAAGUACACACUAAACAACUAGAGUUCAUUUCCUGGAUAACACCGGGCUAACACAUGAGAACACUGUACUCAGGAGACACUGUGCACAAAUGGGCUCAUUUUAACUCAUAUCAUUCUGUUAUUAAUCCGGACAACAGGCUGCCUGUACAACGUUUCACCUCUCCCCUCAUUAUGGCGUGAUUCAGAAAGAAGUAAUCAUAUGGAUGAUUGAGACAGAGGGA